GAUUUUUCAUACUCUUAUAUCAUCCCAAGUAAAGAGGAAAAAAAGAAGUUGAUUUCUUGGUGUUUGUUUGGAAGAAAGGAAGAAGAAAUGGCGAAGGUAGCACUUGUUUUUGUAAUCUCCAUUGCACUUUUUCUAUCAAUCCGCUCUGUGGUGGCUGAAGAAAGCCCAGCGGCAAGUCCAAUGGCCUCAGACAGCCCUACUCUCUCACCAUCAUCGAGUGAUUCGUUUGGAAAUCCAAUGGGGCAGAAGGCUGGAAACGCAGGAGCACCAGCAGGAGAUCCGAUAGGAGCACCAACCAGUGCAUAGAAAUAUUGAUAUAUAGUGCAAUGCAGCACUCAAAUUACAACCGAUUUGAUUAUAUUUCUUAUCAAUUUUUUAUUUUUUCCAAAUAGUAACAUGAAUCCUCUUCUAGACCCUAUUCAUGGAAGGGCGAUCAUGUCCAUUCCAUCAAUGUAAUGGUUUCUAAUAAGUACAAUUGCAUAAAUGUUAUCAAUUCUUGACCA